UAGCAAGAAGCCCUGCAGUUACUGGAGCGUAGCGAAGGGUUUUGAGCAGGGGAUCAGCACCUGCUUUUCGGCUUUCAUUGGAGUUUCUCUUCAGCCAUCAGAAGAGUAAAGGAAAACCAGAAACUGCCAUCAGAAUGAGCAGCAUGAUUAUACAUCAGUAACAAGCAAAUUGCUUGUCAAAAAGUAAGUUUUCUUGGGGGACCCUUCACUUAAUGCUGCUCCUUUGAAAUAAAAGUAUCUCCAACAGCUCUGAAGUUCAAGGAUAUGUUCUCAGUUGGUGUGAGCUUCGUGACCAUGGUAUAUAUCACAUGAAAAGAUGAGCGUUUGUCUCCUCUUCAGCUUAGUUCACUUCUUUACAAUGAUAAGAUGAAGCAAAGUAAAGAUCAGCUGCAAGAAAGACUUGGAAGAGUAAAAAGAGACUUCCUUGGAAAGAUCAGUUCCCUGAUGUGGUUCACGUCACAGCACGAGUGGUAAGAACUUGGACACAGGCUGUGGUCUUCUGAUCAAUGAAAAUGGAAUGUCCUUCAUCACAGAAGUUGAUGGGAGAUUUCUCUUUUCCUUGGCAAUUCUGUGGAAGAUCCAUAUUUCACCAAAGUUGUACAGAAACCUUUCAACACAGAUGUGAUAUUUUGACCUACAGAACGAUCCAUGUACUUGGUGGCACAGCAGAUUCCUCUUAUUUUUCAGUCUGAAAGAAGUCUCAUGAGCAGCUGGAAAUAUCAGGUUUUUACAAAUAUUCAAAAUUUGCUAAUGAUCUUGGGAAGAUCUUCAACCAGAUUAUUCUUAUGCCACAAAUCUCAGCUAGCGAGUUCUGCUCAACAAAAUAUUUACAUAUGCACUUAGCUUUAUAAAUAUAAAACAAGAACUUUGCCUUUCCUAGCCGUGUUUCUUUAACUAGAUUCACUGGGUCAAGACCUAACAGAGGCUGGUGGAGGAGGAGCUAAAGCAAAAAAACUAGAAAGUUGGGUUAUUCAUGGUCGGAUCUUGCAAACAAAAUUGUUUUUAAAAAGUUUGGCAUCAAUGAAUAUGGUUAUCUCUAGAUGCAACAAAUGUCAGCAUGACUGCUCAUAGAUCAGAGUACUUGGGAUCCUUUCAGAGGGCCUCUAACUUGCAUUGUAGUUCGGCAUUUUCUUGCAUUCAUAUACUCACAACAUCUUUAAGCUAUUUAAAUCCAGAUUAGUUUUCUCUUGAUCCUUAAUUAUAUCCCUUCAAAACAAAUUUCCAUCUGUUCUUCUUUAAAGAUUUCAACAUCUUAUCUUGGAAAAGAAGCAGAACAAAAUGCAGUCUAUUUCCUUGAUAAUUAAAUAACAACGAUUUAUAAAUAAAUAAAUAAAUGUAUCUUUCCUUUAUAAAAUGUAUCUUUCCAGGUUCAGAGAAGCUGCACUUCCUCCAUUCUCAGGAGAUUUACAAAUAAAAAACCAAGACAUUUGUGAUGUUUAUGAAACUUCAGUUUUGAUAACAGAUAGAUACAGUUUUUUCUCAUACUGUUGGCUUUUGUUUGGACCUAAAUCGAGAACAAGUGUGUCUAAAUACAGUCAGCAAAAUCUGCAAAGAUUGAUCUUAGUUAUUAGCCUGGUUGUUUCCAGAUUCCCUUUCAAAUAUAUAUCUUCAAAAUAUGUCUAACUUGUAAAGAAAUAUAGGAAUCUGGAAGGUAAUAGUUCUUUUCACACUGUGGACACCAAAUAACUUCUUUUAUUUUAUAACUGCUAUAACUUGCCCCUCCCUAACAAAAAGCUUCUGACAGAAUACAUAUUUAUGUAAGUUACAGAAAAAUAAAAUAUGUAUUUCAGUGGCAAGAGUGUGAUAAUAUUAUAUUUCAUGGCAAUAUCUUGACAGAUUAAUGCAGAUUAAUGUGAGAGCUGAAGGGGGAGUAAUUGAUGUAGAUAUUCUUAGGGGGCAAGUCUACAUGUAGAAUUACUUAGGGGGAAAAUCUACAUGAUGCAAUAGAAGUCAGUUUUAGAGAUACAUGCACAACAGCUGCCUUGUUGAUAUGAUGAGAGCAAAUACUGAAACACUAUGCAAAAAAUAAGCUUUAAUCCUGGAUGCAGAAUGUUUGCAUCUGCAAAGUACUGCCCCCAUGCUAAUAAAAUCAGUCUCUUAGU
ensembl:lncRNA